AAUAGAUACCCUGGUAGUCCACGCCGUAAACGAUGAGUGCUAAGUGUUAGGGGGUUUCCGCCCCCUAGUGCUGCAGCUAACGCAUUAAGCACUCCGCCUGGGGAGUACGGUCGCAAGACUGAAACUCAAAGGAAUUGACGGGGGCCCGCACAAGCGGUGGAGCAUGUGGUUUAAUUCGAAGCAACGCGAAGAACCUUACCAGGUCUUGACAUCCCACUGACCGCUAUGGAGACAUAGUUUUCCCUUCGGGGACAGUGGUGACAGGUGGUGCAUGGUUGUCGUCAGCUCGUGUCGUGAGAUGUUGGGUUAAGUCCCGCAACGAGCGCAACCCUUGAUCUUAGUUGCCAUCAUUUAGUUGGGCACUCUAAGGUGACUGCCGGUGACAAACCGGAGGAAGGUGGGGAUGACGUCAAAUCAUCAUGCCCCUUAUGACCUGGGCUACACACGUGCUACAAUGGACGGUACAAACGGUUGCCAACCCGCGAGGGGGAGCUAAUCCGAUAAAACCGUUCUCAGUUCGGAUUGUAGGCUGCAACUCGCCUAC
rnacentral:rRNA from 1 species